GUUGCCGGCCACAGGGCGCGGGACCCACCCGAUCCCAUUCCGAACUCGGAAGUUAAACCGCGCUCCGUUUUCGGCGUUAGUGUGGUCUUCGGCCACGUGAAGCCGAGAAAGCUGGCGGCU
rnacentral:rRNA from 1 species